GGAAUAUUGGUCAAUGGACGCAAGUCUGAACCAGCCAUGCCGCGUGCAGGAUGAAUGCCCUCUGGGUUGUAAACUGCUUUUAUCAGGGAAUAAACCUCUUUACGUGUAGAGAGCUGAAGGUACCUGAUGAAUAAGCACCGGCUAACUCCGUGCCAGCAGCCGCGGUAAUACGGAGGGUGCAAGCGUUAUCCGGAAUCAUUGGGUUUAAAGGGUCCGCAGGCGGAUUUAUAAGUCAGUGGUGAAAUCUCUCGGCUCAACCGAGAAACUGCCAUUGAUACUGUAAGUCUUGAAUUCGGUCGAAGUGGGCGGAAUAUGACAUGUAGCGGUGAAAUGCAUAGAUAUGUCAUAGAACACCGAUAGCGAAGGCAGCUCACUAGGCCUGGAUUGACGCUCAGGGACGAAAGCGUGGGGAGCAAACAGGAUUAGAUACCCCUG
rnacentral:rRNA from 1 species